rnacentral:sRNA from 1 species
AAAACCCAGAACUUUCACAUUAGACUUUUAUAGUGGCUGGGGACUAUAUUAAAUUGGAAAACAACCUUGUGGCUUGCCAAAAUCUGGAAUGGUAUGGAAGGGUAUAUAAGUCAAUAGUCAUAACUAGAAGUGUAGAAAUUAGGGAAGUAAAACUUAAAUCUCACACUGUAGUCUCCCCACCACUAUGCCCCAAGAAGUCCUAAGAAUGCUUACAAUAUUAUCUCCUUUUUCUUCAGCUCCCAUUGCUAUCACAUGUUUUACCAGAGGCUUGGACAUCAGGAAAGAGAAAGCAGAUGUCCUCUGCCCAGGGGGCUGCCCUCUUGAGGAAUUCUCUGUGUAUGGGAACAUAGUAUAUGCUUCUGUAUCGAGCAUAUGUGGGGCUGCUGUCCACAGGGGAGUAAUCAGCAACUCAGGGGGACCUGUACGAGUCUAUAGCCUACCUGGUCGAGAAAACUAUUCCUCAGUAGAUGCCAAUGGCAUCCAGUCUCAAAUGCUUUCUAGAUGGUCUGCUUCUUUCACAGUAACUAAAGGCAAAAGUAGUACACAGGAGGCCACAGGACAAGCAGUGUCCACAGCACAUCCACCAACAGGUAAACGACUAAAGAAAACACCCGAGAAGAAGACUGGCAAUAAAG